rnacentral:rRNA from 1 species
AGUGAACGCUGGCGGUAGGCCUAACACAUGCAAGUCGAACGGCAGCACAGUAAGAGCUUGCUCUUACGGGUGGCGAGUGGCGGACGGGUGAGGAAUACAUCGGAAUCUACUUGUUCGUGGGGGAUAACGUAGGGAAACUUACGCUAAUACCGCAUACGACCUACGGGUGAAAGCAGGGGAUCUUCGGACCUUGCGCGAUUGAAUGAGCCGAUGUCGGAUUAGCUAGUUGGCGGGGUAAAGGCCCACCAAGGCGACGAUCCGUAGCUGGUCUGAGAGGAUGAUCAGCCACACUGGAACUGAGACACGGUCCAGACUCCUACGAGAGGCAGCAGUGGGGAAUAUUAGACAAUGGGCGGAAGCCUGAUCCAGCCAUACCGCGUGGGUGAAGAAGGCCUUCGGGUUGUAAAGCCCUUUUGUUGGGAGAGAAAAGCAGCAGGUUAAUACCCCGCUGUGCUGACGGUACCCAAAGAAUAAGCACCGGCUAACUUCGUG